UCUGCUGAAUCCUUCUUGAAAAGUCAACAGACAACAGCAGUAAGAAGCCCCCCAAAGGUCUCCAAGCAGCUGGUCCUCGCGAUCCCUCUGCGAGAUAGCAGACUUACCCCCGGCGCUGUGGCUUCGGGGCAAGGAGAGCUGGGACAUACUACUCUCCGCACUCUUCAGCACCGGGGACAGCUCCGGACUCGCCAACUUCGCGCGCCCUUCCGGGCUCGGCGCUGCCGGCUGAGCCUCCCAGGCUGCGGGCGGGGCGGCCGGCUCUCCACGCCCGGGUCCGAGCCUCCGGGGCUUGGGGAGCGCAAAUAGAUCUCGGCGAGCAGCGGAAGCAGCCGGUGGCGCCUCGGGCUGCGGUGGCGACGAGCCCGACUGCACCACGGCGCUGCGGGACCGCGCCAGCGCGGAGGAGACGGAGCCCAUCUCAGCGGGCCGGGCUGGGCCCAGGCCUCUGACCUCAUCCAUCAAGCACAGGAGAGCUCCCUCCGGAUUUCCACCAGUGGGUGCUCAGCCCAGUGUGCACUGAGGGGCAUUAGAAAGAUCUUCUGACUCACCUAGCCAAAUCUUGUAAGCUUGUCACCAACUGGAGGACUUUGGAUCCUGAAGUUUUACCAUUGACAAUGUUGAAUUUUACCUGAGGCCUGUGUUCCUGGAAAAGAGUGAAGGUGAAGAAAUCCUCACCCUUUUGUGUUCUGGAAAACAGCUUACUACAAAAAAAACACCCUUCCCCAAACAACUUGGAAAAGACUCAAGGAUGCCCCUUUGCUUACCUAUGACAAGGCUAGACACUAACACCCCAAAUUCCCGUUCUUUGCCUCAUAAGCAACUAGCUGGACUAUUUUCAUCCCCACUGAUCAAUUGGACAAAAUGCCUGUUAACCAGACUCCUUGGUCAGGUUGGGGAAACUAGAAUCAACCAGAAUGUUAGUGGCAACAGAGCCCAGAGUAGGGUCCAAGUCUUCCACCCCAGGCUCCAUCUCCUUCCAGCACAACCACAGGUACCAUUUUCACCAGCUUCAUGGCUCUAUCUCAUUUUCAGCCUUCUUCUAACUACUCUCUGCUGAGGUAGUCUAACAAUUCCCAAGAGAGUUCAGAGGGCUCCAGAGAAGACCCCAAACUCCUAUAGUGUAUCACCCCCUUAUCCAUAGGGAAUACAUCCCAAGACCCCCAGUAGAUGCCUGAAAUAGUGAACCCUAUAUAUGCUAUGUUUUUUCUUAUACAUACAUACCUAUGAUAAAGUUUAACUUAUAAAUUAGGCACAGUAAGAGAUUAACAACAAUAACUAAUAAUAAAAUAGAACAACUAUAACAAUAUACUGUAAUACAAGUUAUAUGAAUGUGGUCUCUUUCUCUCUCUCAAAAUAUCUUGUUGUACUGUACUCCCCCUUCUUGUGAUGACUUGAGAUGACACAAUGCCUAUGUGAUGAGAUGAAGUGAGGUGAAUGACGUAGGCCUUGUGACAUACUGUUAGGCUACUAUUGUCCUUCUCACAAUGUCAGAAGGAAGAUCAUGGAGCCAUGAUGGUGGCAAUGGUUGGAUAUCAGGAGCAGAUGAUAUCUGUGAUUGAACCCAAGUAACUGGAACCAGGAAAAGCAAAACCACGGAUAAGGGGGAACUACUCUAAUCAAAUGAUUUCAAAUCCAGUCAGAACACACAGGAACAAAGAAGCAACUCAGCUGGGCUCCUUUAACAUCAACUAGGGACCAGCAGCUUUUUAUGGUAAACCAAACACAGAAUUAGACAUAGGUCCUGCCUAGUAGGGACUACGGGAAUAUAAUAUAAUGCUGGGAGCCUGAUCUGUACCACAGGCAUUGGUAAAUAAAAGGAAAAAUGCACUUAACUCAACCUUGAAAGGUCAGAGGGUGACCUGCUCCAGGGAAAUCUGAGAGUCAGAGAAGGGUUGGGAUGUAGAGCCCUGGCAUUGUGACGUCAUUGCUAAGCCUCUGGGUACGGUAGAGGAAUAAACAUCCCAAAACUGUUCUUAAAAACAAUGACACACAGGAUGUUUUCCUGCUAGACGUUCCAUUGUUUCAUUUGUCUUUGCAGUAUCCUGGUGAAUUAGAAAGGUUAUAGGUAUUAUUCACCCUCAUUCUGUAUCCAAACAAAACAAGGGCUUAAAAGCUCAAAUGGAUUGCACAAACCUAAGUGAUGGGUAAGGAUACGCACAAGUCUAGCUCCAGAUCUCGGGUCUUCUGACUCCAACCAAUGUUCUGUCUGCUGUAAAAAUCAAAAAGAAACUUUUAAGUUGAAUCUUUGAGCCAUCUAUUUAUUCCAACUUACCAACCAGUGUAGGACUUCCUUCCAUAGGGCUCUGACAAAAAAAGUAAAAUUAAAAUUUAUAGCCCCUCCUUAAUGUCUCAGUAAUGAAGAGUUCAUUACUUUUUUAUAAUAUAUUCUUUUUCUAAUUAUUAAAGUAAUACACACUCAUGGCAUAAAAUUUGGAAACUACAGAAAAGCAUAAAGAAUAAAAUGUAAACUACCCAUAAUCCCACCACAUUGACAUAUCCUUUAUUUUCUACUUGCUAUUAAAAUACAAAUGAAGUAUAUGUUGACUUUUUAGUGGUAUUACACAGGAUAAUAUCCAAGAUAUGAUUUAUAUUACUUUUUGGAAUAGUGUCUUCCAAUCAUAUAUAUCCAUCCAAUCAUAUACACCCAGUCCAAUAUAUCUGUAUUUUACAGAAUUAGAAUCAUACUUUAAUUACUAAUUUGUGACCAGAUUUUCUCCCUUAAUAUAUCAUCUUCAGAAUAUAAUUUAAAAUUUCCAUAAAACAUUUGAAUUGUUUACAAGAUAUUCAUUCAUUCUUUGACAUACCGUAACUUACUUAACUUCUACCCCAAUGUUGGUCAUUUAGAUUGUUGCUAUUUUUCAGAAUUACAAAAAUAACAUGGAAUGAACAUUAAUCUACUAGCCUAUUCCUGUGAUAGUUUAUUCACUGCAACUUUAUAAUAAGUUUUAAUAACAUUUUCCAAAAUCUUCUUGGAUAUUCUUACUCAAAUUUUCCUCUAGACACUUUUUUAUAACAUCCUCCUAAAAAAAUGAGAUAUUAUUUGAAAUGCAGUAAAUAUUACAGAUUAGUCUAAAGAGAUUUGAUAAAUUGACUCUUCUCAUUUCUUUUCAAAGCAGUCUACUUAUCAAUUAGACAGAAAAAAUUUUUUAAAAGCUGUUCUUAUUAAUGGUUCUAGACAAUAAUCAUCAAUGGCCCCUAAUAUCACAAGAGAGACAAGACCACCAACCAGAACAUGCCUCCUGAUGGAGGUUUAUAACACCACCUGUGAAGUGUCUUGCCAAAAAAAAAUCAAACCUGAAUUUGACCAGGCUUCUAGAUCUACUACCAAUUUAUAGGAAAUACGGAGAACAGAGGGUCGUGGCAAAUGACACCGCAGGGUUGCAAUCAGCAAAGUCUAGACUGAAAUUUUACAGGACAAGCAACUGAUUUCUUCAACAAAUAAAUUGCAAGUGGAGGCAGGGGAGAAUCUUAUACAUUAAAGCCAUUUAAGAAACAUGUCAACCAAUUGUAAUGUAUGAACUUUAUUUGGUUCCUGAUUCAAGCAAACUACUACCAAAAAACUUUGUACAAUAAUUGGAAAAAUGUAAAAACUAUCUGGAUAUUUGAUGAUGUUAAGAAAUUAUUGUUAAUAUUUUAGAUGAAAUAAAUUUUAUGCUUAAUUUUUUAUAAACAUUCUUUGACUUUAAAGAUGCUUACUGAAAUGUUUACAGAUGAAAUGAUAUGUCUGGGAUUUGCUUCACAUUAACCAGAGUAAAGGCAUGAGGGGUGUAGAGAUGA
rnacentral:lncRNA from 1 species